AACGAACGCUGGCGGCAGGCCUAACACAUGCAAGUCGAACGAAGUCUUCGGACUUAGUGGCGCACGGGUGAGUAACACGUGGGAAUAUACCUUACGCUGGGGGAUAACAUCGGGAAACUGAUGCUAAUACCGCAUACGCCCUUCGGGGGAAAGAUUUAUCGGCGAAAGAUUAGCCCGCGUCCGAUUAGCUAGUUGGUGAGGUAAUGGCUCACCAAGGCUCCGAUCGGUAGCUGGUCUGAGAGGAUGACCAGCCACACUGGGACUGAGACACGGCCCAGACUCCUACGGGAGGCAGCAGUGGGGAAUAUUGGACGAUGGGCGCAAGCCUGAUCCAGCCAUGCCGCGUGAGUGAUGAAGGCCUUAGGGUUGUAAAGCUCUUUCACCCACGACGAUGAUGACGGUAGUGGGAGAAGAAGCCCCGGCUAACUUCGUG
rnacentral:rRNA from 1 species